CGUAAAUAUCUUAUUCGAUUCUCAAUGGAAAGUCAUGUUGUUGGUCUUAUUCGAUAGCUAAAUCCUUUCUUGUUUUUAUGUUAAUUUGCUAUAAUUUUCAAAAGUGUAGAAAUAUAUGAUUUUUAGCUCAGAAGUGACAUACCGUAUUGAUCAACAUAACAGUAUGCGCCAUUGUGCAAUGUCGCAAUUUUCAGACAUCGUAGUUUUCUACUACUUGAAUGGAAAAACUAUCUGCUUUAGAAUCAGAAAGACAGUUACCGAGAUUCAUAAUUGCAUGCGAAGAUUUUGUACUGAGACAUUUUGUCUAGCAGAUUUUUUUACUUUGAAAAAAAAAAUGAGAGAAUUAUUUCAAAUAAAUACUAUAAUAAGCCAUUUUGAAAAUGCAAAUAUCUCAUUCAAUUCUGAAUAGAUAUUCAUGUUAUUAGUGUCAUUCUUAGGCAAACCCUUUCAUGUUUCAUGGUUAAUUUGUCACAGUUAACAAAAUUGGGAAAGGAUGUGAUUUCUUGCUCAAAAAUGACAGUCCACAGGAAACAAAAAUAUGGCCACGCCGUUGCAACAAAGGUACAUGUUUUGGCGAUUAUUUUGCAAAAGGUUAACAAGAUAUGAAGCUGAUAAUUUGAUACAAUUAGGACUAAUGUCGAGGAUAUUCAAUGAGACUAUUUUCAUCUUAAAUUGAAUACAUUGAUUGGAAGUGGCUCUGUCAUCCACCAUUGCUCGUCUUUUCCAGGAAACCCAAUUCUAAAUUUAGACUGCAUUUUCCGAAAAUCUUGGUGGUGACCUCAGUCAGGUCAGUCAGGUGAGGUCAAGCUAGGUUCAGCACUGAGGUAGAGACAUUGCUUCCAGCGCGUGAAUGUAUUUUUGUGAAAUAAAAGCAUAUUCUUGUGUUUGCAGAUGAAGGGAACAGAAAAAAAUUUAUGAGAAAAUACAUCUCAGAAUAUCUGCCAUUGAAAACUAUCAAGGAUGGAAUCGGAUAAUAAUUACAGGAGCUGAUUCUGCAUGCAAACAGCACUGUGAUGUGAUUUGUACAGGCCAAGGUGUUCCAAGUUUUACAAACAUACUGAAGUGGUGUGCGACAGACUUUCUACAGCAGUGUUAUGCAGAUAAAAUCAUGUAUUCAUUUCACAAAUACUGAGCAGAUAUAUUGAAUUUCAACAAAUACAAUGCCUAUUCAGCUUGAUAAAUUUUGUAAGGCUGUAGAAACUUUGCUACAUUUGAUUUUGUGUGAUGCAGAAAACAUUAAAAUAUGAACACAGA